GCUAUAUAUUAAAACUACAUCUCAACAACAAUGUUAUUCCCAUCUAAAAAAAACAAUGUUAUUCCCCUUCGUUCUAUACUCCAACAAUCAUCUAACGGAGACAUGUGACGGAAAGGAAAAAAUGGGCGGUGGAAAAUCGGAAAGUGGGGAGUGCACUCAAGACAAAGAGGCAACAAAAAUGGUCUUUUUAAAUACAUUUAUAAUCUUUUGAUCAAAAAUAAUAGAUUUAUAAUUUUGCCCUUUUA